GCCGGAGUGGCGGAUCGGCCAGACGCGCAAGAUUUAGGAAUCUUGUGGUCGAAAAGUCUUGGGGGUUCAAAUCCCUCCUUCCGCA
rnacentral:tRNA from 1 species